GAAGUCCGCCUGGCAGUCGCUGUGAGUGCAAGCUCAUGGAGGAAAGUCCGGGCCCCAUAGAGCAGGAUGCCGGCUAACGGCCGGGCGCUAUAAGUUGUGGCUUGCGCUGCAACCCAAGGCGACGGAAAGUGCAACAGAAAGAUACCGCCGAUGGCCGCAAGGCACAGGUAAGGGUGAAAUGGCGAGGUAAGAGCUCACCGCGGACGCAGUAAUGCGGACGGCACGGCAAACCCCAUCCGGGGCAAGGCCAAAUAGGGAAGCUAUGACGUUGCUCGCGUCGCUUCCGGGUAGGCUGCUAGAGCCCGUCGGUAACGGCGGGCCCAGAGGAAUGACUGCCCACGACAGAACCCGGCUUAUCGGCGGGCUUCCAAU
rnacentral:RNase_P_RNA from 1 species